GAUGAAGAACGUAGCGAAAUGCGAUAAGUAAUGCGAAUUGCAGAAUUUCCGUGAGUCAUCGAAUCUUUGAACGCACAUUGCGCCCACUGGUAUUCCGGUGGGCAUGCCUGUUCGAGCGUCAUUAUCCUCCCUCAAACCUCGGGUUUGGUGUUGGACCCAAGUUGUGUGAACAACUGGUCUUAAAGACAAUGACGGCGUCCGUGGGACCCUCGGUGCAACGAGCUUUUAGGAGCACGCGUCGAGUUUCAAGGACCUUCCGGGCCGGUCUCCUUUACCAUUUUACAAGGUUGACCUCGGAUCAGGUAGGAAUACCCGCUGAACUUAAGCAUAUCAAUAAGCGGAGUA
rnacentral:misc_RNA from 1 species